AAUUUAAAAUGUUUGUCUACAUUGUAUGCCAUUUGAUUGUUUAAAAUAAAAGUGGAUCUGGCUAUUUUCAAGGAAAAACUUCCAUCCAGUCCAUUUAUUCUGGCAGUAAAAUAAGACUGAGACAACUGGAGAUUUAAUUAGCUUUUACAGUUCUUGUAAAGAAAACACUUCCUUAUUAAGUAACAAAUACAGGUGUAAUUAAGUCUGUUCUGAAAUUAAGUAGGAAUUAACAGCUGUUCUGAUUUCUGUCUGCAUACACAGGCCUGAGAAGCCAUUUGAGGUUCUCCCUUACCCGGUGCUGUAUCCAUGCAUGGAGCCGCCUGGAGGCAGCAUUCACACAGUUUGCUACAGGCCUGUCUUUGGAGAGUACACUUUGCUGAGGUUUCAUCAUACAGAAAAAAGCUAAGAAGAAAUUACAUAAUAUUCAACUUUACUGGACACAGAAGCUCUGAGGUGAAGUUGACCAAAAUAUAUGGUAAGUCCAUCUGCAGAUUCCUAAUGUUGGGAUGUAAUUGAUUGCUAUCUGUCUCAGGAGUUGUACAUAUAGAGGUAAAAAAAGCAUAGAGAUAGGAAGAGAUCUGAUGGAGGUGAUCUCUGGAUUUAUGAUGAACUAUAGACUCGGAGGCCGCAGGGAAAGGAGGAAUGAACAAGGUUGUGGUGAGCAGAGUGACGGGAUAACAGAGCUGAGAGGAAGGACGUGGAAGGAGAGGAAUAGAAAGUGAAAAGAUAAAGGAAAAGCACACCUCAAAGGGUAGGAGGCACGAGAGCAGCAUAACUGGAAAGAAAAGACCAAGGACUGAAGAAGAAACUUUAAGGAAUAAAAAUAUGGGAAUGAAAGACUAAAAAUCCUCCCACUCGUUAAUGCACAUCUGCAGGAGAUGAACCAUCGUGGUUAUCAUGCAAGCCUGUGCACUGUCUGUGCACUUGAACACUCCACUGGGCAAAGAAGCUGUCGGAAGGUAGUAAGGCUCCAGCAAUACAGUAGAGAGAAGUUUAAAUGUGCAAUAGGACCAAAGGGAAAGGAUCAGAGAAACCCCUCAGUGGCAACUAUUCUACUCUCAAAGGAGUUAUCUAGAAAUGCUUGUGCCAGAAAUCCCACUGGACCUUGGGCCUGCAUCUAGUGAAUACACCCAACAUCCUACAACUCCUUUUUGCAGGAGGUAAGAAAACACCAGCGUGGUACUUCUCCUGAUGUAACAGAUUAUCCUUACAUGGGACAAGAGGAAUACUGACCACAGUGUAUAGCUUGGAUUUUUUUAGUUGUUACUUUAUUGAAGAUAUGGUUCUAAAAACCAUUUUGUUCUAAUUAGCCACUCAUUAUUUGCUAGGAUUCUUCACCAUUUUUGCAGCUGAUUAUUCAUUUGUCUGGAUGUUAAAGCAUUUCUUUUUUUUUUCCCCCACUAAUUUUGCCUUCUGUGCAUUUAGU